AUUUUUAAGAAGAGGCACCAGUGAACUUGCUGGUUCUCUCUCACCGCUAUUUGAAUACAAAGCAAGAAGGUGGCCAUCUGCAAGCUAAGAAGUGUACCCUCAAAGAACCCAAUUAUGCAGGCACCCUGAUCUCCAGACUAUGAGAAAUUAUUUCCAUUGUAUAAGCCAUCCAGUGUAUAGAAUUUUAUUAUAGAAGCCUUGGCAGACUAAGAUACCCUACAAACGAGAAUUUCUACUCUACUGUGAAACUUGUUAUAAUUCUUUCACUAACGAACCAUUCAUCAUUAUUUUUUCAUAACACUAAUGUGUUUUUUGAAAGCAUCUAAAAGGAGAAGACUUUGAGAUGCUUGUUUUCAAGAACCUUAAAACUUGAAGAAAUAUCACAUGUACUUGUGGACAGCUAGAGAGCAAUUCUGAAGUUAUAUAAACAAGUAUACAGGCUAUAUAUACAUAAAUGCUAAAUACAAAGUGAGACAUUUCUGGAAGAGAUUAGCAUUUGAAUCAGACUGACUAAAGAAGAUUAGCCCUCACCAGUGUGGGCAGGCAUAAUUCAACUGCUGAUUGGAGGGCCCAAAUACAUCAGAAAUGCAGAGCAAGUGGGGAGUUCGCUCUUGCUCUUCUUCAACUGAUAUGUCCAUGUUUUCAUGCCCCCUGAAAUGGAGCUCCUGGUUCCCAGACUUUGGACUAGGACUGAAUUAAAUCACCAGGUUGCCUGGUUCUUCAGCUUACAGAAGGCAGAUUAUGAGACUUUUCAGCUUCCAUAACUGUGUGAACCGAUUCCUACAAUAAAUGUCUUGCUGUAUCUACA